UAUCUUAGUGGCGGACGGGUGAGUAACGCGUGGGUAACCUGCCUUACACUGGGGGAUAACACUUAGAAAUAGGUGCUAAUACCGCAUAACAGGAGAAGACGCAUGUCUUUUCCUUGAAAACUCCGGUGGUGUAAGAUGGACCCGCGUCUGAUUAGCUGGUUGGCGGGGUAACGGCCCACCAAGGCGACGAUCAGUAGCCGGCCUGAGAGGGUGAACGGCCACAUUGGGACUGAGACACGGCCCAAACUCCUACGGGAGGCAGCAG
rnacentral:rRNA from 1 species